GGGGAUUUAGCUCAGUGGUUCCGGCGCCUGCCUCUCAAGCGCAAGUUCCCGAGUUUGAUCCCCGGUAUCCCCA
rnacentral:tRNA from 1 species